CCUACGGGUGGCAGCAGUGGGGAAUAUUGCACAAUGGGGGAAACCCUGAUGCAGCGACGCCGCGUGAGUGAAGAAGUAAUUCGUUACGUAAAGCUCUAUCAGUAGGGAAGAAAAUGACGGUACGUGAGUAAGAAGCCCCGGCUAAGUACGUGCCAGCAGCCGCGGUAAUACGUAGGGGGCAAGCGUUAUCCGGAUUUACUGGGUGUAAAGGGUGCGUAGACGGUGUGCCAAGUCUGGAGUGAAAUGCCGCAGCUUAACUGCGGAUCUGCCUUGGAAACUGGCGAACUAGAGUGCGGGUGGGGUAGGCGGAAUGCGUAGUGUAGCGGUGAAAUGCGUAGAUAUUAGGAAGAACACCGGUGGCGAAGGCGUCUUACUGGACCGUGACUGACGUUGAGGCUCGAAAGCGUGGGGAGCAAACAGGAUUAGAUACCCUGGUAGUC
rnacentral:rRNA from 1 species